ACACUGGUGGUCUAACGGUUAUGAUUCAUCGCUCCCAACGAUGAGACAGGGUUUCGACUCCCUUCCAGUGUA
rnacentral:tRNA from 1 species